GGGGGCGAUCGGCUUCGACGGGUUGAGUGAAGGCAUCGCUGCGUGCCCAGGUCCGAGGUCCUGGUUAAUCCCUUCGGAAAUGAUUUACCUGCCAACUCUGAUCUGGCACUGGCUGCGUAAGCUGAGCUUGCUCGCUUGACGCACCUCCGAGGAAGGGGCCCGUCCGGGGCGCCUCGAUCGGAUCGAUAAACCGGACUGGCGACCGGUGGUCCUCCACCAUCGGAAGCGAGAUCUCAGGAGGUCAACGUCGGGAAGGCUGGCUCCGUGCCGGCCCGGCGCCAAGCUGGAAGCGGAGCAUACGCACGUAGACGCGGUCCCGGAAAGCGGCUCGGACCAGGGUUCGAUUCCCUGCGCCUCCAUCG
rnacentral:tmRNA from 1 species